AUUGAACGCUGGCGGUAGGCCUAACACAUGCAAGUCGAACGGCAGCACAGUAAGAGCUUGUGCUUACGGGUGGGGAGUGGCGGGUGGGUGAUGAAUACAUCGGAAGCUACUUUUUCGUGGGGGCGAACGCAGGCAAUCAUACGGUAUAACUCCAUACGACGUACGGGUGAAAGCAGCGGAUCUUAGGCCCUUGGGUGAUCCAAUGAGCGGAUGUCGGAUUAGCUAGUUGGCGGGGUAAAGGCCCACCAAGGCGACGAUCCGUAGCUGGUCUGAGAGGAUGAUCAGCCACACUGGAACUGAGACACGGUCCAGACUCCUACGGGAGGCAGCAGUGGGGAAUAUUGGACAAUGGGCGCAAGCCUGAUCCAGCCAUGCCGCGUGGGUGAAGAAGGCCUUCGGAUUGUAAAGCCCUUUUGUUGGGAAAGAAAAGCAGUAAGUUAAUACCCCGCUGUUUUGACGGUACCAAAAGAAUAAGCACCGGCUAACUUCGUG
rnacentral:rRNA from 1 species